UUCCUGAAUAUAUCACAUGUGAUAAACAUGAAGAUGUAUGAAAAAUUGUGUUCGUUGAGAGAAAAUGGAAGGCUUUUCAUUCUACUUCCACAUUUUCAUUCCAGCAGCUUUUCUGUUUUGGAAGGUGAGUACUGAAUCUUGCAAUGAAAUUUUUUUAACUUAAACAAGGUUCUUAUGCCUUUGUUUGAAAAACAUGGUUCCCUGUGAAAUUUUACAUGUAGAAGACAGCUUCACACUACGAGAGCUCUCAGGAUAUAAUUAUUUCAGACAGAUGCUGGGAACAUAAGAUGUCUUAUCAAUCUAAGAUGGCCUUCCUGUCCUUCGGAUUGAACUGAAACCAUCCCUGAUUCCAGGGAUAGGUAGAUGAUCCAGGUUUGGACAAUCGAAAUAUUGAACCACCCUGGACCUACAAGUGUUUCUGGGAUGGGAACGUGCAAACGUUGGUCCAAAUUGUUGUUCUAGGCAGCCCAGUACAUUUCUCCAAUGCCUGAUGGAAUGAUAGGGUACGCAUAAAUGUUCAUGUGGGCUCUGGAGUAUACCAGGAACUGAAGUAAGGUACAUGGACGUCUUGAAUAUUGUAACUGAGAUGGGCAAGCCUACACCUUUGCAAAUAAAGGAGGAUUGGGAAAGAUUAAGCCUCUCAAGCACUGUGAAAAAUCACUUUCUCUUGUUAUAUUCUUGGAGCCCCUGCUAAUUCAUUAUUGAAAAAUACCUGCUGCCUGCAUUUGGCCUUAUGUUGUCAUUUACUUG
rnacentral:antisense_RNA from 1 species